UAAUGCAUUUUUAGCUCACCUGUCACAUAGUGACAAGGUGAGCUUUUGUGAUCACGCAGCGUCCGUCGUCCGUCCGUCCGUGCGUUAGUCCGUCCGUCCGUAAACUUUUGCUUGUGACCACUCUAGAGGUCACAUUUUUCGUGGGAUGUUUAUGAAAUUUGGUAAGAAUGUUCACCUUGAUGAUAUCUAGGUCAAGUUCGAAACUGGGUCACGUGCCAUCAAAAACUAGGUCAGUAGGUCUAAAAAUAGAAAAACCUUGUGACCUCUCUAGAGGCCAUAUAUUUCAUGAGAUCUUCAUGAAAAUUGGUCAGAAUGUUCACCUUGAUGAUAUCUAGGUCAAGUUCGAAACUGGGUCAAGUGCCAUCAAAAACUAGGUCAGUAGGUCUAAAAAUAGAAAAACCUUGUGACCUCUCUAGAGGCCAUAUAUUUCACGAGAGCUUCAUGAAAAUUGGUCAGAGGGUUCACCUUGAUGAGAUCUAGGUCAAGUUCGAAACUGGGUUACGUGCCAUCAAAAACUAGGUCAGUAGGUCAAAUAAUAGAAAAAACCUUGUGACCUCUCUAAAGGCCAUAUUUUUCAUGGGAUCUGUAUGAAAGUUGGUCUGAAUGUUCAUCUUGAUAAUAUCUAGGUCAGGUUCGAAACUGGGUCACGUGCGGUCAAAAACUAGGUCAGUAGGUCUAAAAAUAGAAAAACCUUGUGACCUCUCUAGAGGCCAUAUAUUUCAUGAGAUCUUCAUGAAAAUUGGUCAGAAUGUUCACCUUGAUGAUAUAUAGGUCAAGUUCGAAAGUGGGUCACAUAUCUAAAAAAACUAGGUCAGUAGAUCAAAUAAUAGAAAAACCUUGUGACCUCUCUAGAGGCCAUAUUUUUCAUGGGAUCUGUAUGAAAGUUAUUCUGAAUGUUCAUCUUGAUGAUAUCUAGGUCAAGUUCGAAAGUGGGUCACGUGCCAUCAAAAACUAGGUCAGUAGGUCAAAUAAUAGGAAAACCUUGUGACCUCUCUAAAGGCCAUAUUUUUCAUGGGAUCUGUAUGAAAAUUGGUCAGAAUGUUCAUCUUGAUGAUAUCUAGGUCAGGUUCGAAACUGGGUCACGUGCGGUCAAAAACUAGGUCAGUAGGUCUAAAAAUAGAAAAAACCUUGUGACCUCUCUAGAGGCCAUAUAUUUCAUGAGAUCUUCAUGAAAAUUGGUCAGAAUGUUCACCUUGAUGAUAUCUAGGUCAAGUUCGAAAGUGGGUCACAUAUCUAAAAAAACUAGGUCAGUAGGUCAAAUAAUAGAAAAACCUUGUGACCUCUCUAGAGGCCAUAUUUUUCAUGGGAUCUGUAUGAAAGUUAUUCUGAAUUUUCAUCUUGAUGAUAUCUAGGUCAAGUUCGAAACAGGGUCAUGUGCGGUCAAAAACUAGGUCAGUAGGUCUAAAAAUAGAAAAACAUUGUGACCUCUCUAGAGGCCAUACUUGUGAAUGGAUCUUCAUAAAAAUUGGUCAGAAUGUUCAUCUUGAUGAUAUCUAGGUCAAGUUCGAAAGUGGGGCACGUGCCAUCAAAAACUAGGUCAGUAGGUCAAAUAAUGAAAAAACGUUGUGACCUUUCUAGAGGCCAUAUUUUUCAUGGAAUCUGUAUGAAAGUUGGUCUGAAUGUUUAUCUUGAUGAUAUAUAGGUCAAGUCUGAAACUGGGUCAACUGCGAUCAAAAACUAGGUCAGUAGGUCUUGAAAUAGAAAAACCUUGUGACCUCUCUAGAGGCCAUACCCUUGAAUGGAUCUUCAUGAAAAUUGGUCAGAAUGUUCACCUUGAUGAUAUCUAGGUCAAGUUUGAAACUGGGUCACAUGCCUUAAAAAACUAGGUCGGUAGGUCAAAUAAUAAAAAAACCUUGUGACCUCUCUAGAGGCCAUACUUUUUCAUGGGAUCUGUAUGAAAAUUGGUCUGAAUGUUCAUCUUGAUGAUAUCUAGGUCAGUUUUGAAACUGGGUCAACUGUGGUCAAAAACGAGGUCAGUAGGUCUAAAAUUAGAAAAAUCUUUUGACAUCUCUAGAGGCCAUAUUUUUCAAUGGAUCUUCAUGAAAAUUGAUCUGAAUGUUCACCUUGAUGAUAUCUAGGUCAUUUUCGAAACUGGGUCACGUGCGGUCAAAAACUAGGUCAGUAGGUAACGUGGGCCACGUGCUAUCAAAAACUAGGUCAGUAGGUCAAAUUAUAGGAAAACCUUGUGACCUCUCUAAAGGCCAUAUUUUUCAUGGGAUCUGUAUGAAAGUUGGUCUGAAUGUUUAUCUUGAUGAUAUCUAGGUCAUUUUCGAAACUGGGUCACGUGCGGUCAAAACUAGGCCAGUAGGUAUAAAAAUAGAAAAACCUUGUGACCUCUCUAGAGGCCAUUUUUUUCACGAGAUCUUCAUGAAAAUUAGUGAGAAUGUUCACCUUGAUGAUAUCUAGGUAAAGUUCAAAACAGGGUCACGUACCUUCGAAAACUAGGUCAAUAAGUCAAAUAAUAGAAAAACCUUGUGACCUCUCUAGAGACCAUAUUUUUCAAUGGAUCUUCAUGAAAAUUGGUCAGAAUUUUUAUCUUGAAAAUAUCUAGGUCAAGUUCAAAACUGGGUCACAUGAGCUCAAAAACUAGGUCACUAUGUCAAAUAAUAGAAAAAACGAUGUCAUACUCAAAACUGGGUCAUGUGGGAAGAGGUGAGCGAUUCAGGACCAUCAUGGUCCUCUUGUUUUCUUUUUUGUACAGUCGGGUUGCAAAGACGAUUUUCUGCAUUUGUUUCUACUGGAGCCCCAACAAAUGAAUCAUGUAAUUUUUUCAAAUCAAGUAAUUAUAAAAAUUAUUUUUAUCGGUUUUCCGUGUGAUGUCUCAUUAAAUCAAAGACCUAUAAUGUACAAUUAUAGCUCUUUGAUUAAAAUUAAAUUCCUUUGAUUAAAUGCAGCGACCAUUUGUUUGUUACCGUGAUCAAACAUAGCCUUUUGAAAUAAACCAUCCGUCGGAUUCUAAAUAGAAGAAGUGGAUCCCCGUCGAAAUGAUUUGGAUCCAGUCAGAAACGUUAGGAAACCAGUCAAAAAUGUUUAAUACACCGCAGUCGGCUGUCUGCAAACAUUAAAGGAUGUGCCGCGCGAGCACUGAUUGCGUCACGCGCUAAUUACGGACCGAUUAUCAAAGUGACAAUCAGACCGAUUGACACGUUUAUUGAUUAUCUGAAGGUGCGACCAACAAUUUCCUGCUUGGCAGGUGAUCGUGUAUUGAGAUAUCAGACCGAAAUUUAUACUUUUCUCCAUUUUUACGGGACCGAUUUUUUUCGUUUUUUCACUUCACGAAUCGGUCUGAAAAGUCAAAAAUCGGUCCAAAACCGACAAACCGGCAAAUUUCCGAAGCCCUGCUC